rnacentral:lncRNA from 1 species
AUGGCACCCUAUUCCCUACACAGUGCACAACGUUGGACCACGGGACUUGUAGUGCGUUAUGGUGCCAUUUGGAAUGCAUACGUUGACCCAACAGGGCCAUCAUCAUACCCCAUCAUCAGAACAUCAUCAUACCCCAUCAUCAGAACAUCAUCAUACCCCAUCAUCAGAACAUCAUCAUACCCCAUCAUCAGAACAUCAUCAUACCCCAUCAUCAGAACAUCAUCAUACCCCAUCAUCAGAACACCAUCAUACCCCAUCAUCAGAACAUCAUCAUACCCCAUCAUCAUACCCCAUCAUCAGAACACCAUCAUACCCCAUCAUCAGAACACCAUCAGAAUAUUAUCAGAACAUCACCAUACCCCAUCAUCAGAACACCAUCAUACCCCAUCAUCAGAACAUCAUCAUACCCCAUCAUCAUACCCCAUCAUCAGAACACCAUCAUACCCCAUCAUCAGAACACCAUCAGAAUAUUAUCAGAACAUCACCAUACCCCAUCAUCAGAACACCAUCAUACCCCAUCAUCAGAACAUCAUCAUACCCCAUCAUCAUACCCCAUCAUCAGAACACCAUCAUACCCCAUCAUCAGAACACCAUCAGAAUAUUAUCAGAACAUCACCAUACCCCAUCAUCAGAACACCAUCAUACCCCAUCAUCAGAACAUCAUCAUACCCCAUCAUCAGAACACCAUCAGAAUAUUAUCAGAACAUCACCAUACCCCAUCAUCAGAACACCAUCAUACCCCGUCAUCAGAACACCAUCAUACCCCAUCAUCAGAACACCAUCAUACCCCAUCAUCAGAACAUCAUCAGAACAUCAUACCCCAUCAUCAGAACAUUAUCAGAACAUCAUCAUACCCCAUCAUCAGAACAUCAUCAGAACAUUAUCAUACCCCAUCAUCAGAACAUCAUCAUACCCCAUCAUCAGAACAUCAUCAGAACAUCAUACCCCAUCAUCAGAACAUCAUACCCCAUCAUCAGAAUAUUACCAUACCCCAUCAUCAUAACAUCAUCAUACCCCAUCAUCUGA